AGCCAAAGCAAAAGCGGAAACUGCUUCAGGAACACUUGGAGCUCCUAUUUGUGGGAUUGCAUCUCUAAUUUAAUUGCCAUGGCUUAAUGCAAUCCUGGAUUUGUAGUUUGGUGAGCAUCAGCAUUUUUGGCAGAGAAGGCUUAAGACCUUGUAAAACUACAGCCCCCAUGAUUCCAAAGUGGGUAAUGUAAUGUGGGAUGAAAAGUUUUAUAUUUCUCCAUCUUCUAUCCAUUUUGUGAAAUGGGAGGAGGCAAUCCAGUGUGAUGGGGGUGUAUAAAUUAGCUAAUUCCUUUACAGGUGGAACACCAUGGAACGCGAUGUGAAAAAGAUGACUAUGAAUGCUUCCCCUCCCCCUUGUGGGAUGAGGUCCUAACUGUGCAGAGCUAAACUAGUUUAAUUGUUGGUGGAAAUGAGAAAAUAAAAGGAAAGGAAGAGAAGAGAUGGAAGGAUUCCUAUGAGUAUCAGGUUACAUAUCAGAAGGCUAAGAUAGGUCAAUAAGAAAUUUGGAGGCUUUGGCUCUGUUCAGUGCUGCUUUGUCUAAGAUAUCUUUAACUCUUUUAACUGUUGAGUGUUGUUGAAUUUCUUACAUAUAGAUGAACAUGAGCUGAGGAAAAAGUGGAAUAUAAAAUUAUCAUCAUCAUAUCCUCCUCUUUCUCUGAGUACCACAAGACAAGUGAAAGUCAACUUGUAAUAAACUUUUCUGGUGUAGAUAUAUCUAUCAGGCAAGUCUAGUGUUCAUCCAAAAUAUUUUGCUAUGUGAGCUAUUUGAGAGCUAUAAAGUAAGGUGCCAAAUACCCAAGCCAAGACAGAAAAAAAAUAAAAUAACCAACAAUUUGUUGACCUUCAAUGACCUCCAAAUCUGCAGCCAGUAUUCAAAUAGAGGUACAAAUGGAAGAAAGUUAUGAUUUACCUUUUAUAUAUUUUAAGCUCUUGCAUGUUCUAGAAAAUGAAUCAUAUGGAAAGAUAAGGCAUUUAAGAACUUUGGGAUGGCACAUGGAGAUCAUGUCUUGUUUCCUAUGCUGUUGCUCUCUGCUGAAGUUUUCUUCAACAAUUCAGACCAAGCUGUAAUGCUUUGCCAUGUUCCCUUCAAUUUCAGUCCUGCAUAAUGGUAAUCACAUUUCAUGCUUCAUGGUAUAAGCAGAUCACCAAGGAGUUAGAUGGGAAAUUAUUUUGCCUUCUCUGCAUGUACAAUACUGGGAAGGGCUUUCCUGUUUCUCAGAACUGCUGGAGCUAGUUGCUGUGGGAGACAGGAGAUUAGCAUAGAUUGACUCAUGAAAGACAUAUGUUGAAUUAGAAAAACAGUGAAAUGGCCUGCCGUCCUGAUUGCUCACAAGUCCAGGGUGUUACAUAAAUAUGGUGGGUGCAAAAAACAGUUUCUGUUGACUCCAUCAAAUGAUGAGGCUAUGUCAACAGAUUAUGAUCUGAAACACAUAGAUACUCUCCAAUCUUUUCUUGGGGUCACGAUAAGGCCAAUGAGAGGCCUCAGCCAAGAAUAAAAAGAUAUCACUGUACAUGCUCCUUGUUCAGAGAUCGAUUCAGCUGAUCCAGUUACUUCAGAGAAGCAACUCUUGUGCUAUUGUGCUUCAGAUAAAAUCCCGAGGAAUCUACUUGAUCUUCAUCUACUACUUGUCCUUUGAGAGCCCUGGGUGUUUUUACAUGUUUCUACACAGGAAAUUGAAAAAUAAGUCGAUGGUCAAUCAACUUAGGGAUUGUGUGAAAAACCACACUUUAGAAACAAUGAAAUACCUGGAACCAACACUUGAAGCUUUUGUCAUGUGAUGAGCUCCGUGCGUUGCCAAUUCUCAAAUGUGUAGAAACACUGAUUUUAUUGCGUGUGAUGAAGUCCUAUCUGAAAACUGUUGAACAACAGAGCUCUAGUUGUGCUGGCAGUGUGAUCCUGAAAGUUGUUAUCCAACAGAUAAUGUUUGCAAGCUCUGACUAUUACUAAUAUUGAGACUCCAACACUUCUGUCAUUAUCUAGGCAUUUCUCACUCUAUUUUGAUUCAUUUUGGUCUGCAACUAAGUUGGGAUGGGACUUAUGGAGUAAUUACUCCAGUAGCCAUAAGCAGACAUGAUCUUCUUUUUCACAGUUUUUUUUAUUCAAUCCAAGUGACUCUUCCCAGGACUAACGGAUUACAUGGAUACUUCAUCACAGACAUAGCAGGUGGCCUGCUUGAACAUUCUCGUGAUACUCUAGUGGGAAGGAUAACUAACAGAAGAGAAGAUUCAUGACUGAUUGUAACAUUACACUGUAUAAAGAACUCAUUGAAUUUCCAUUUAAGUUCCAAAAGGUCAAUGGCUGCACUGUGAAACCCAUGUGCUACAAAAGCCACAGAGAAGUUACUGGGAAACAUUUCCUAAAAGGGAGCAGCUAUAUGUGAACAACUUUUCUCAAUAGCCAGAAAAACUCUUGGCUGUAGCUGUAGCUCCUAGAAUCUGGCAGCCAAGCCUUUCAUACUGGGCAAACUUCAGGCUGGAAGAAUCUACUUUGGGUUUUAGGAUUGCGGUUUUUUAACUAGAACUUUGAGAGCUAUCAGUUUGAGCUUGCUUCAAAAGACUUUUUUUUUAAAAAAGAAUUCUGAGCCUAAACCUAAGAAUUAACCUAAAAAUUUCAGCUCAGAGGUGUCAGACUGUCAGAAAAGGAAAAAUGGAAAGAAAUUAUAACAGGAAGAAGAAUGAAUUAAGGAGUAUGGGGAGAAAGUGGCUUGCUGGAAUGCACUGCAGCAGUCUACCUGUUAUGGUUGAGCCUUCUGGCUCCGGUACUGGGAGACGGGGUUGUAAGACUCCUCGAGAGUCAGACUCUUUUGAGGAGCGUGAAAGGAAACGGCUUCGGGACUUAUUUGCAGAACCAACAGAUGAAGACUCAUUUGAGGGUUUUACCGAGGGAAUGGAGGAAGAGAUGGUUAGCUCAGAGGAGGAUGACAUGGAGUGGACUCGUGUGAGGGAGGAUUUGGGUGUCACCGGCACUGAUAGCAUGGGGGGCGAUUGGCGGGUUGCAGGAUCAGACCCAUGGACAGGCUGGAGGGAUGGAACGGGAUCCGCAGCUGGGGAUGCUGUGGGGCGUAGUCAAAGGUGUUUUAGCUCUGAUGAGGAUGAUGAUGAUGAGGCACCUGGAAUUAGGAUAGCAGCUGACAGCGAUGAGGAGUUAUGAACUGGAUAAAAUGGGGUUUAGGAUCAAUGGCUAAUUGCGUUGGGCAAGGUAAUCUGGACGAACGCUUGGGCUCUUGUUUGGGAACUUCCUGAAGACGGGUGUGAUUCGUUGCUGGAUACCUUGGACCUCCGUCGUCUUUUUGACGGACAUUAAUUACCUACUCUGGAUUGACGCUGGACUGACUGACUGACUACGACCUUGGACUAUCCUUUCUGUGGCUAUCGGUGGGACUCGUGGAACCUUAGACGCCUGCACCUGGCUUUCGACCUCGGACCGGACUGGGACCCUGCUGACCGCUGUGAUCCUGAUUGAUGUGCCUGGACCCGGAUUUCGCUCGUUGCACGGAGGAGUAACAGCCUGAGUUACUCAUCUGUAGAUUUUUGGUAGCAGAGAGGAAUCUGCUGCCAGCUUUUGAUGUUCAUUUUGACCUUUGUUUAUCAACUUUUGUUUGUUUAAACUGCCAGGCUGAAGUAAGCACUUUUGAGUUAACUCGGAUUAAACUCCUGUUUAAUCCGGUUUAUUCCUUUGAACCGUUUUAGUUUAAACGGAGCUGUUUCUGUUACUUUUCACACUGAAGACAAGUGUUUGCCUAGUCCUUUGUUUUCUACGGGCAUUUUUGUGUUCUGUAACUUUAAUAAACUGUGUUGUACUCUA